rnacentral:hammerhead_ribozyme from 1 species
GGAUGCUGAAGAGUCCCACAAUAGGACGAAAUAGCCAUCCAGUGC